CCAGAGAAUUUAGCAGAGAUGCUUUUAGUGCCUUCGGGAACUCUGAGACAGGUGCUGCAUGGCUGUCGUCAGCUCGUGUUGUGAAAUUGUUGGGUUUAAGUCCCGCAACGAGCCGCAACCCCUAUCCUUUGUUGCCAGCGAUUCGGUCGGGAACUCAAAGGAGACUGCCGGUGAUAAACCGGAGGAAGGUGGGGAUGACGUCAAGUCAUCAUGGCCCUUACGAGUAGGGCUACACACGUGCUACAAUGGCGCAUACAAAGAGAAGCGACCUCGCGAGAGCAAGCGGACCUCAUAAAGUGCGUCGUAGUCCGGAUUGGAGUCUGCAACUCGACUCCAUGAAGUCGGAAUCGCUAGUAAUCGUAGAUCAGAAUGCUACGGUGAAUACGUUCCCGGGCCUUGUACACACCGCCCGUCACACCAUGGGAGUGGGUUGCAAAAGAAGUAGAUAGCUUAACCUUCGGGAGGGCGUUUACCACUUUGUGAUUCAUGACUGGGGUGAAGUCGUAACAAGGUAAGCGUAGCGAG
rnacentral:rRNA from 1 species